ACGAACGCUGGCGGCAUGCCUAACACAUGCAAGUCGAACGAAGGCUUCGGCCUUAGUGGCGCACGGGUGCGUAACGCGUGGGAAUCUGCCCCUAGGUUCGGAAUAACAGCUGGAAACGGCUGCUAAUACCGGAUGAUAUCGCGAGAUCAAAGAUUUAUCGCCUGAGGAUGAGCCCGCGUUGGAUUAGGUAGUUGGUGGGGUAAAGGCCUACCAAGCCGACGAUCCAUAGCUGGUCUGAGAGGAUGAUCAGCCACACUGGGACUGAGACACGGCCCAGACUCCUACGGGAGGCAGCAGUGGGGAAUAUUGGACAAUGGGCGAAAGCCUGAUCCAGCAAUGCCGCGUGAGUGAUGAAGGCCCUAGGGUUGUAAAGCUCUUUUACCCGGGAAGAUAAUGACUGUACCGGGAGAAUAAGCCCCGGCUAACUCCGUGCCAGCAGCCGCGGUAAUACGGAGGGGGCUAGCGUUGUUCGGAAUUACUGGGCGUAAAGCGCACGUAGGCGGCUUUGUAAGUCAGAGGUGAAAGCCUGGAGCUCAACUCCAGAACUGCCUUUGAGACUGCAUCGCUUGAAUCCAGGAGAGGUCAGUGGAAUUCCGAGUGUAGAGGUGAAAUUCGUAGAUAUUCUGAAGAACACCAGUGGCGAAGCGGCUGACUGGACUGGUAUUGACGCUGAUGUGCGAAACGUGGGGAGCAAACACGAUUAGAUACCCUGGUAGUCCACGCCGUAAACCAUGAUGACUAUCUGUCCCGGGCACUUGGUGCUUGGGUGUCACAGCUGACGCAUCUACGUAUAUACGACUGGAGGUAGUACGGCCGCUAGCGUGUACAGACUCAUAAUGAAUUAGACUCGCGAA
rnacentral:rRNA from 1 species